rnacentral:lncRNA from 1 species
CUGUAAAAAUUAACAAAAUUGUCAAUUUUAACCAAAAUCUCGGUUUUUCCCCCCAGCGGACCGCGAGUCGCAGUACGAGGAGGAGGAGGAGCGGGGGCGGGGCCGGAAGCGGAAGGGCCCGCCCAGUGGGCGGGGCCGGCCCCACCCCCCCAAGAAGAAGCGGAAGUAGCGGCGCCGCCCCUCCCCCACCCCCCGAAAUCGCCGCGUUUCGCCCCAAAAAUCCCGGCGGGGGGAGGGGGGGAAAAUUCCAGAAUUUGGGGGAAUUCAGCCCAAAAAUUUUGGGGGAAAUGCCCCGAAAAUUUGGGGGAAAAAACCCAAAAAUAUGGGGGAAUUUAUCCCAAAAAUUUGGGGGAAUUUAUUCCAAAAUUUGGGGGAAAUUAUUCCAAAAAUUUGGGGGGAAAUACCCAAAAAAUUUGGGGGAAAAUGUCCCAAAAUUCUGGGAAAAACCAACCCAGAUUUGAGGAGGAAAAUGGGAAUUUUGGGGGAAAUUAUCCCAAAAUUUUGGGGGGGAAAAAAAUAAUCUCAAAUUUUGGGGAAAAUGUCCCAAAAUUCUGGGGAAAAAAAGCCACCCAAGUUUGGGGGCAAAAUUCCAAGUUUUGGGGGAAAUGAUGGAAAAAUUCUUGAGAAACCAACUCAGAUUUGGGGAGAAAGAUGGAAAUUUUGGGUGGAAAAUGGAAUUUUUGGGGAAAAAUUCCCAAAAUUCAGAGGGAAAAACCCCCAAAUUCUGAAAAGCAAAAUCUCAGAUUUUUGUGGGGAAAAAAAAUCUCAGAUUUUGAGGAGAAUGUCCCAAAAUUCUGAAGAAAAAAAAAAAAACAACAAAUUUAGGGAAAAAACCCCAAAAUCCUGGGGAAAAAAUCCUCAAAUUUGGGAGGGAAUAAAUGUCAAAUUUUAUGCGGAUAAAACCCCAAAUUUUUGUUGGAAAAUGCCCAAAUUUGGGACUUCCCGCCCUGACCCCGCCCACUUUUGGGCUGAAAUUUUG